GUGUAGCUGGACAUGGCUGGAUCAUCUGUUUGGCUCCGUGUCGCCUGCAUCGUCGCUGGUUGGGCUCCUGUCAUGAGCAAUAUCCCUGGAAAAACUGAGCAAGUCAAAGCAAAAGAACACCAAAAUAUCCUCCUUCAUUGCCUGACAAUCUGCACGGGUCAAGUUAGCUUUAUUGUUUGGUAUGUCUUUACAGAUACAUGGAAACCCAUUAACGAUGAUAGUGACAAAGAAACGCAUGUCAAUAAAUACAUUAAACAUGAUAACCACUCCCUUACCAUUGAAAAUCCUGACUGGAUGGGCUCUAGAUUGCACAGAUGUCAAUGGUCAUGUAAAUCUGAAGUUUUCUUUGUUGAUACAGAUAUUCUCAUAAUCAAAGGUGUGAAGAUGAACAAAAAUAUAAAAGCUAGAAUUGGGGAACAUAUCUCGAUUCCCUGCCAAACCAAUUCUGCAAGACAAAUCAACGGAAGUGUUAACUGGCAUGUUGCUCUACAAGGACAACCAUACUACCCUCUCUCAAUUGAUAGUAUGAGAACAAAAUAUUUCAAAAAUAGAACUGCAUCAUUGGUAAUUAAUGAUGUCAAUGGUAAAGAUGCAGGUGUUUACCUGUGUGAGCUAACCAUUCCUGGGGAAUUCUAUGAAACGAAGCUCG